AGAGUUUGAUCCUGGCUCAGAUUGAACGCUGGCGGCAUGCCUUACACAUGCAAGUCGAACGGCAGCACGGGGCAACCUGGUGGCGAGUGGCGAACGGGUGAGUAAUAUAUCGGAACGUACCCAGAAGUGGGGGAUAACGCAGCGAAAGUUGCGCUAAUACCGCAUACGAUCUACGGAUGAAAGUGGGGGAUUCGCAAGGACCUCAUGCUUUUGGAGCGGCCGAUAUCUGAUUAGCUAGUUGGUGAGGUAAAGGCUCACCAAGGCAUCGAUCAGUAGCUGGUCUGAGAGGACGACCAGCCACACUGGAACUGAGACACGGUCCAGACUCCUACGGGAGGCAGCAGUGGGGAAUUUUGGACAAUGGGGGCAACCCUGAUCCAGCAAUGCCGCGUGAGUGAAGAAGGCCUUCGGGUUGUAAA
rnacentral:rRNA from 1 species